rnacentral:rRNA from 1 species
GACGAACGCUGGCGGCGUGCCUAAUACAUGCAAGUCGCGCGGGUGACCCCUUCGGGGGAAGCCAGCGGCGGACGGGUGAGUAACACGUAGGCAACCUGCCCGUAAGACCGGGAUAACUAACGGAAACGUUAGCUAAUACCGGAUACGCAGAAUCCUCGCAUGGGGGACUGGGAAAGGCGGAGUAAUCUGUCACUUACGGAUGGGCCUGCGGCGCAUUAGCUAGUUGGUGGGGUAACGGCUCACCAAGGCGACGAUGCGUAGCCGACCUGAGAGGGUGAUCGGCCACACUGGGACUGAGACACGGCCCAGACUCCUACGGGAGGCAGCAGUAGGGAAUCUUCCGCAAUGGGCGAAAGCCUGACGGAGCAACGCCGCGUGAGUGAUGAAGGUCUUCGGAUCGUAAAGCUCUGUUGCCAAAGAAGAACGGUGUUAAGAGUAACUGCUUAACAUUUGACGGUAUUUGAGAAGAAAGCCCCGGCUAACUACGUGCCAGCCGCCGCAGUAAUAC